rnacentral:rRNA from 1 species
AUGGCCGAUGGUUUGGAUGUGCAGAGUAUUGGGUGCCAGAACCUUGCUAGUGAGACCUCGAUCUGGGUCCAGUCCCAAGUCCUCAGCAUCAUCCAACACGACAACUUUUGCUUCAGCUGUUGUCAUAUUCAGGCGCGCCAUGAGAUCCUCGAUGCCCGAACUCCCAGAUGCCAUCGCUUCCCACGGCACUCGCGCAGGCGUGCCCUUGCCAAUCGCCGGCGCAGAUGGAUCCCCUUGGGCACCAUCACCCAGCGCACAAGACCCCUCCUUGGUUACAGCAUCUCCACUCGUUGCGCCCCCAGGAGACGUUUUUUCGCCGUCCUCUCCCAGCCGUCCCCCCAGGCGAUAGCCUUUUUUUCUUUUGCUGUGGACGGCCGCUGGCGAGGAGAGCAGCGGCGGGAGCCCGAGGAUCCACGCGAGCAUGAACUGCACGAGCUCGUGCAGGUCCGCGCGAGCGCCGGAGCGCCCCGUCCGCCGUUGGUGAAGGGGCACCGCCGUAGGCAGUGUCGGAGGCGACGUCCAACUCCCCCUGCUGCAGCUUGCAGGAGGCCGUCCUCCGGCGGUGCUGCGCGCGGCGACGGCGCCGGCCACUCGUGCGCCGCGCCGACCCCGCGUCACCCCGUCUGCGCGCCGGUGUGCAGAGACUGCGGAUUCGCCGGCCACUCGUGCACCGCGCCGACCCUGCGCCUCCCCGUCCGCGCGCCGGUGUGCAGAGGCCACAGAUUUGCCUGCCACUCGUGCGCCGCGCCGACCCCACGGAUUCGCCGGCCACCCCGGAGCACGUCCUGGAGCGUGCGCGCGGCCGUGGAUGCGCGGGUGCGCACCCGGCGAGCCUCUCGAGCGCGCCGACCAGACGACCUCAUCGAGCACGCCGGACGCCGGCCACGCGACCUCGCUGCCCCGCACGCUGGACGCCGGACACCGACCUCGCUGCCCCGCUGCCUCGUCGGCGCGCUCGAGAGAGAGGCAUGGGAGAGGAGAGAGGAAAAGAGAGGAGAGAGGGUGAGGGCACAUGGGUGGGGCCCAGAUGAAAAGAGAGGAGAGAGGGGGUGGGAGGCUGAGGGUGGGCUAACCGCAAGAAAAAGAAAGCGCCGGCACGCCCAGCUGCCCCCAGGGGGCUGGGUUUGGGGUGGGUUUGCCGGCGUCAAUUUUAUUCAAAUCCGACGAAAGUGGGGCUUUGGGGAUGUGAGUGGGACCUUUGACAUGCUCUUAUCAUCGUUAUCAUCGGUCAUCGACGAAGCCCCCGAGAAGGACCACGGUGGCCCACAAAAGCAUGAGGGCCCCGAUGGAUUUCAGGGCAAUUCGGACGUACGCUGCAAGGAGCGCAUACUUGUUGAUGAUCCUUACUUCUGGCCGUCGUUGAAGCUCUUCCAAGAAAGCUUCAAGCUCAUUUCCCGAGCCCUGCUGCUGCCGCUUCCCAUUCCGGUUUCCCGAUGCUGUGCCCCUACGCCAUACACCCCUACGCCAUAUACCGGUGGGCAUUUCCCUCCUGGAAUGGUAAUGGUGGCGGAGCGGCAGAUUUGUGGCUCCUCUUUCAGUUUGCUAGUGAAACAGUCUACUGGUUUCUCCUCUAGAACUCGUCUGGUGGCCAUGCCCCGCUGGGAAGCCUGCACGAUAUUUCACGUUGGGCUGGGAGCAGUUGAACGUUCGUCUAGCCCGAUUGCAUCUUGCAGCCACCGCGUGCAGCUCAGCAACGAUUUCCUGCAAUAUUUGUUUCGGCGCGGGGUGGGGAUGAUUCGUGCGAGCUACGGUGCUGGCUUUAGUUACGUUUGGUGCUCGCAUCUCGCCGGGCGCACACUACUUUCUGGCUGGAGUAGAGAGCUGUUAACAGUCUGGUGUGAUUGCCUUUGCUUUUUUAAUAAAAAGUUGGGGCAGGGGGGCAACCCCAAAAAAAAGGAGGCGACAUGUCUGACAGCAAUUCGACAAAUCAGGCGAGAGGAUCUCGAUCCAAAAAUACCAAGGGACAUUGAUGGCAUGCUCAGGAGACUGAAUCUUAGUGCUCACGACAAAACCAAAUACUACACCUACCAAAAGCGAAAGGCGUCGGUCCAAGAGGCGGCUGCUGUUAAAGGGGCACUUGAGUGUUUUCAGAAAGGUUCUGGGCAGCUCCUAAGCCCCCAAAAGUGCUUGCUUUUCUUUAGUGAGGCAUGCCCGGAUGUUAUUCAGCAAGGAAUCAAAGAAAAACUAGGUGUUGUGGUGUCAACUUUUGAGAGUAAGUACCUAAGACUACCAACUCCAGAAGAAAGAAUGAAGGAGGGAAGAUUCCAGCCAAUUAUGGAGAGAUUUACCAAGAGAUGCUCGGACUGGAAUGAGAGAUACAAGUCACAAGCUGCAAAGGAUGUUCAUGUCAAAGGUGUGGCACAGAGCCUACCUACCUACCCCAUGGGUGUGUUUAAAAUGACUAAGGGGUUUUGUGAGAUGUACGAAAAGCUCAUCCGUGAUUUCUGGUGGGGCGAUGAAGAGGGUCAUCGAAAGGUCCACUGGAUGGCUUGGAAGGACAUGGUCAAACCAAAGAAGGGAGGAGGACUGGGCUUUAGAGAUAUGCACCUCUUCAACCAAUCCUUGCUAGCAAGGCAGGGGUGGAGAAUCAUUCAAAAACCGGAUAGCCUGUGCGCGCAGGUGCUGAAAUCUAAACGGCGAUAUUCUAGACACUGUGUUUGCAUCCGAUGCCUCCCCAUCAUGGAGAGGAAUUGA